rnacentral:rRNA from 1 species
UAGCCACGGUAAUACCCGCUCUCCGAGUGGUGGGGACGCUUAUUGGGCCUAAAAGCAUCCGUAGCCGGCUGGUCAAGUCUCCCGUUAAAUCCAGCGAUUCAAUCGUUGGACUGCGGGAGAUACUGUCCAGCUAGGGGGCGGGAGAGGCCGACGGUAUUCCCGGGGUAGGGGUGAAAUCUUAUAAUCCCGGGAGGACCACCAGUGGCGAAGGC